CAACUCACCUGCCGAAGCAACUAGCCCUGAAAAUGGAUGGCGCUCUAGCGUCGUGCCUAUACCGGGCCGUCAACGGCAAAGUGGGCCGCAGCCCGGCCGGUUAACGCCGGCCGGCUCGGCCGUUAAGCCUUGACGAGUAGGAGGCGCGCGGCGGUGUGCGCAGAAGGGUCUGGGCGUGAGCCUGCCUGGAGCCGCCGUCGGUGCAGAUCUUGGUGGUAGUAGCAAAUACUCUAGCGAGGGCCUGGAGGGCUGAUGUGGAGAAGGGUUUCUUGUGAACAGCCGUUGCACAAGAGUCAGUCGACCCUAAGCCCUAGGAGAAAUCCGAUGUUGAUGGGUAGCGAUCUCACCAGUGUGCUGACUGCUCCCGUCGGGCGAAAGGGAAUCCGGUUCCUAUUCCGGAACCCGGCUGCGGAACCGUCACUUCGCGGGCACUCGCCUGCGAGCGCUCGUCGGGGUAACCCAAAAUGACCCGGAGACGCCGGCGGGAGGUCUGGAAAGAGUUGUCUUUUCUUUAUAAGCGUUCGAGUUCCCUGGAAUCCUAUAGCAGGGAGAUAGGGUUUGGAACGCGAAGAGCACCGCAGUUGCGGCGGUGUCCGGACCUUCCCCCCGGACCUUGAAAAUCCGGGUGAGGGCUACGCGGAAUGUCGCGCCGGCUCGUACCCAUAUCCGCAGCAGGUCUCCAAGGUUAAGAGCCUCUAGUCGAUAGAAUAAUGUAGGUAAGGGAAGUCGG
rnacentral:rRNA from 1 species